CUUCCGGUUAGCGUGGGGGUUUUUAGACAAGUCGCUUUGAGCGUUAUCCUAGCGAUCCUUGUGAGGCGAUUGUUAGGUGUUAAAAUGGCGCGGAGAAGGUCGGGGAUUUAGCUCAGUGGUGCUGCCGCCUGCUUCGCAAGCGCAAGUUCCCGAGUUCGAUCUCCGGUACCAAAAAAAAAAAAAAAAGUAAAAUACCGCGGAGAAAGAGGAAAUGACACCUUCUUCAUCUCUGGAAUAAUGACUAUUGUGAAGAUCGGGCCCAGCUGGAUAUUAGGAGAUAAUCUAUCUCAAAAUUCCUAAUGACAUUUUUAGAAUUUUGUGUCAUAAAAGUUCACAACUUUCAGGGACUACAGGAUGGACGCAUUUGGAGGACCUAAUUUUCAGCCCAUCAUGCAUGCAUGGACAGACGUAUUUCCCCUCUGAGCUCUGGGGAACAUGAGAUACCUCGCUUGGACCUCACUCCUCAAUCUUUAAUGGCAAACAACUGCAAUAUAUGUAUGUGCCAAUUCGCCACAAAACAAGUAUUAAUCACAUAUCACAAGCAUGUUCUAAUAAAAGGGAAAAUACAUUUUAAAAAUGGAAAA